rfam:Cicer arietinum chromosome Ca6, whole genome shotgun sequence.
CUAUCUUUGUUGGUUCAGUGUUUGAAAAACUCAAAUAUUGUUGUGUUGUCAUCAGCUUCAUCUCUUGUUCGAUCCACGAGUUGGGAGUUAAAUAAUAGCACUAAAUUG